rnacentral:rRNA from 1 species
GGUAGAGCUCCUAAUCGGACCCUGCGAGAGCCGGCCGCUUAUGACGUGAUUGGCCGGCCCGGCACCUGCGGGAAGCACCGGCCCACGCACGUGCGGUACUACGACCCCACCCCAGGGACAGAGCGUCACGGCAGGCAAGCGCCUCAAAUACAGCUGGAAAAUAUAUAGGACUUUGGUUUAUUUGUUGGUUCUAGAACUAAAGUAAUGAUUAAUAGGGAUAAUUGGGGGCACUGUACUAUGAUGUCAGAGGUGGAA